UGCACAGACAACCUACCUCUAGGAAGGGGAUAACGGCGCCCGCAAGGGCUUUACCGAAAGGGCCGCUAAUACCCUAUAAAGCUACGGGACGCAUGUUCAUGUAGCUAAAGGUGGGACGAAGGUCCUGCCACCUAAAGAGGGGUCUGUGUCCUAUCAGCUAGUUGGUGAGGUAAAGGCCCACCAAGGCGACGACGGGUAGCCGGCCUGAGAGGGUGGUCGGCCACAUUGGGACUGAGACACUGCCCAGACUCCUACGGGAGGCUGCAGUCGAGGAUCUUUGGCAAUGCUCGAAAGGGUGACCAAGCGACGCCGCGUGGGGGAAGAAGGCCUUCGGGUUGUAAACCCCUGUCAGGGACCAGGAAAUGUAGGGGUGUGAAUAGCGCCCCUACUUGACUACAGUUCCAGAGGAAGCCACGGCUAACUCUGUGCCAGCAGCCGCGGUAAUACAGAGGUGGCCAGCGUUGUUCGGAAUCAUUGGGCGUAAAGGGCACGUAGGCGGCCCUGCAAGUCGGGUGUGAAAGCCCCUGGCUUAACCAGGGAACUGCAUUCGAUACUACAGGGCUUGAGGGCAGGAGGGGAGAGUGGAACUUCUGGUGGAGCGGUGAAAUGCGUAGAUAUCAGAAGGAACGCCGGCGGCGAAAGCGACUCUCUGGUCUGCCCCUGACGCUGAGGUGC
rnacentral:rRNA from 1 species